GAUGAACGCUGGCGGCGUGCCUAAUACAUGCAAGUCGAGCGAAAGGACGAGAAGCUGGCUCCGCUGAUGUUAGCGGCGGAGGGGAGAGAAACACGAGGAUAAGCUACCUAUAAGACGGGGAUAAGUCCGGGAAAGGGGAGAUAAUACCGGAGAAUAUUUUGAACAGGAUGGGGAAAAAGUGAAAGACGGUCUUGCUGUUAGUUAUAGAUGGAUCCGCGCUGGAUUAGCUAGUUGGUAAGGUAACGGCCUACCAAGGCAACGAUGCGUAGCCGACCUGAGAGGAUGACCAGCCACACUGGAACUGAGACACGGUCCAGACUCCUACGGGAGGCAGCAGUAGGGAAUCUUGCGCAAUGGGCGAAAGCCUGACCCAGCAACGCCGCGUGAGUGAUGAAGGUCUUCGGAUUGUAAAGCACUGUUAUUCGGAAAGAACACAUGUGUCAGAAUCUGUGCACAUCAUGACGGUACCUGAUCAGAAAGCCACGGCUAACUACGUG
rnacentral:rRNA from 1 species